GGCUCUCUGCCUGGGUGAGCGGUUGUGAGGUCUUGGGAAUGUUGUUUUAAGUUUGGUGCUCUGAGGAUGCUUUACCACGCUGGAGUGUCUCGUUUUCCUGCUUCCCUUCCGCGGCACUGAGCUGUGAGUAGCAGUGGCUUGCAGACGGGCUUGUAGUUUAAGCCAAAAGGCCUGGAAAAUUUGAUCCAGCCGCCUCAUUGAGUAGGUAUAGGCAUUGCUGGG